UACAGAGGUCUCAAGCGUUGUUCGGAUUCAUUGGGCGUAAAGGGCGCGUAGGCGGCGGGGUAAGUCAGGUGUGAAAUCUCAGGGCUCAACCCUGAAACUGCACUUGAUACUGCGUGGCUCGGGUACUGGAGAGGAGACUGGAAUUUACGGUGUAGCAGUGAAAUGCGUAGAUAUCGUAAGGAAGACCAGUGGCGAAGGCGAGUCUCUGGACAGUUACCGACGCUGAGGCACGAAGGUCAGGGGAGCAAACGGG
rnacentral:rRNA from 1 species